UAGCCUGAGAAAUAGCUACCACUUCUACGGAGGGCAGCAGGCGCGCAAAUUGCCCAAUGCCAAAACAAAUGAUGAGGCAGCGAAAAGAAAUAGGUGCCCCAAACGCCUUGUGUGUUUGGGGCUUUCAAUGGGGGAUAUUUAGAACCAUCCAACAUCGAGUAACAAUUGGAGGACAAGUCUGGUGCCAGCACCCGCGGUAAUUCCAGCUCCAAGAGCAUAUAUUAACGCUGUUGCUGUUAAAGGGUUCGA
rnacentral:rRNA from 1 species